rnacentral:rRNA from 1 species
GACGGAGGGGGCUAGCGUUGUUCGGAAUUACUGGGCGUAAAGCGCACGUAGGCGGCUUUGCAAGUCCGAUGUGAAAGCCCUCGGCUUAACCGAGGAAGUGCAUCGGAAACUGCAGAGCUUGAGUACUUAAGAGGAUCGCGGAAUUCCCGGUGUAGAGGUGAAAUUCGUAGAUAUCGGGAGGAACACCAGUGGCGAAGGCGGCGAUCUGGGAAGAUACUGACGCUGAGGUGCGAAAGCGUGGGGAGCAAACAGG